rnacentral:rRNA from 1 species
AUUGAACGCUGGCGGCAUGCCUUACACAUGCAAGUCGAACGGUAACAGGUCUUCGGAUGCUGACGAGUGGCGAACGGGUGAGUAAUGCAUCGGAACGUGCCCAGUAGUGGGGGAUAGCCCGGCGAAAGCCGGAUUAAUACCGCAAACGACCUGAGGGUGAAAGGGAGGGAUCGCAAGACCUCUCGCUAUUGGAGCGGCCGAUGUCAGAUUAGCUAGUUGGUGGGGUAAAGGCCUACCAAGGCAACGAUCUGUAGUUGGUCUGAGAGGACGACCAGCCACACUGGGACUGAGACUCGGCCCAGACUCCUACGGGAGGCAGCAGUGGGGAAUUUUGGACAAUGGGCGCAAGCCUGAUCCAGCAAUGCGGCGUGCAGGAAGAAGGCCUUCGGGUUGUAAACUGCUUUUGUCAGGGAAGAAAUCUUCUGGGUUAAUACCUCGGGAGGAUGACGGUACCUGAAGAAUAAGCACCGGCUAACUACGUGCCAGCAGCCGCCGUAAUAC